GGACCCGCACAAGUAGUGGAGCAUGUGGUUUAAUUCGAAGAUACGCGCAGAACCUUACCAACACUUGACAUGUUCGUCGCGACUUUAAGAGAUUAAAGUUUUCGGUUCGGCCGGACGAAACACAGGUGCUGCAUGGCUGUCGUCAGCUCGUGUCGUGAGAUGUUGGGUUAAGUCCCGCAACGAGCGCAACCCUCACUUUUAGUUGCCAUCAUUAAGUUGGGCACUCUGAAAGAACUGCCAGUGAUAAGCUGGAGGAAGGUGGGGAUGACGUCAAGUCCUCAUGGCCCUUACGUGUUGGGCUACACACGUGCUACAAUGGUAUCUACAAUGCGCAGCGAUCUCGCGAGGGUGAGCUAAUCGCAAAAAAGUGUCUCAGUUCGGAUUGGAGUCUGCAACUCGACUCCAUG
rnacentral:rRNA from 1 species